rnacentral:lncRNA from 1 species
CAUUGACCUUUUGUAAGUUAAAAUAUUUUUUCCAUAUUCCAAAAUUAUGUUCGUGUACACUUAAUCACAUAACUGUAAGGUCCAAAUUUCAUUUACAGAUUCAAAAGAAGGAUAAUCGAGUUGCAGCUGAAUUCUCCGGUUGGAUCAAGAAGCAAAUACAAUUAGAAAAUUUUACUUAGCAAUAACCGUAGUUUAUAUUGAUAGAUGGAAAAAUGUAAUAUCAUGCAAAAGUUUUUUUAUUUGUUUGAAUUGUGCAAAUGCUAUGGUGUAAUAUUCUCCAUAGACAUGUUCUCUGUAGUCAAAUUAUAUGAAUGAUAUGUUGCUGGACCAUUAGUAUUGGUAUUUGUUUAUUGGAAUGCAUAUGUAUCCUACACUGUUGUAUAUUCAUAUUAAAUAUCUUGAUAUUU